GAUGAAGAACGUAGCGAAAUGCGAUACUUGGUGUGAAUUGCAGAAUCCCGUGAACCAUCGAGUCUUUGAACGCAAGUUGCGCCCGAAGCCAUCAGGUUGAGGGCACGUCUGCCUGGGCGUCACAUAUCGUUGCCCAAUGCCUAUUGCAGUGCAAUAGGAAUUUCUAGGGCGAAUGAUGGCUUCCCGUGAGCGUUGUUGCCUCGCGGUUGGUUGAAAAUCGAGUCCUUGGUAGGGUGUGCCAUGGUAGAUGGUGGUCGAGUUAGAACGAUACCGAUCAUGUGCAUGCUCCCCAAAAUAUGGCCUCUAUGACCCACACGCGUCUUUUGACGCUCAUGACGAGACCUCUGGUCAGGCGGGGCUACCCGCUGAAUUUAAGCAUAUCAAUAAGCGGAGGA
rnacentral:misc_RNA from 1 species